ensembl:snoRNA
GGGCUAAUGAUGAGCUGGGUGUACUGAGAGUGAAUGAAAUGAGUCUCGAUAUGAUUACUCUGAAGUCU